GAGUUUGAUCCUGGCUCAGGACGAACGCUGGCGGCGUGCUUAACACAUGCAAGUCGAACGAAAAGACGGAAAGAGCUUGCUCUUUUCAGAAUUGAGUGGCAAACGGGUGAGUAACACGUAAACAACCUGCCUUCAGGAUGGGGACAACAGACGGAAACGACUGCUAAUACCGAAUAAGUUCCAAGAGCCGCAUGGCCCAUGGAAGAAAAGGUGGCCUCUACCUGUAAGCUAUCGCCUGAAGAGGGGUUUGCGUCUGAUUAGCUGGUUGGAGGGGUAACGGCCCACCAAGGCGACGAUCAGUAGCCGGUCUGAGAGGAUGAACGGCCACACUGGAACUGAGACACGGUCCAGACUCCUACGGGAGGCAGCAGUGGGGAAUCUUCCGCAAUGGGCGAAAGCCUGACGGAGCAACGCCGCGUGAGUGAUGACGGCCUUCGGGUUGUAAAACUCUGUGAUCCGGGACGAAAAGGCAGAGUGCGAAGAACAAACUGCAUUGACGGUACCGGAAAAGCAAGCCACGGCUAACUACGUGCCAGCCGCCGCGGUAAUUC
rnacentral:rRNA from 1 species